AGUCCUGCCUCAUCCAAUGGCACAAUAGGUCAUAUAUCUGAAAGCAUUUCUUGGACAAAGAAGUGACAUGUUCAUAGUCAUUACUAGACAAGUGAUUCACUGCACACUUUCUUAAAUGAAUUGAUUAGUUUGAUGGCAAAUCAAGUAGUCCAGUAUAGAACCUGUUUUGAUUAGUUUUUAAACUGAUAGAUCAGCCUAUAUACGAGUUGAAAGGGGUUCUAUGCCAGAUGAAUCUAUUUAUUGUCGAAUAAUCAAUUUAAAGAAGAAUGCAACAAAUGCACGUGUCUACUUCUUAUUGUAACUGUAGAAUCGUAGCAUUACCCCCAAGAAUUGCUCCAUUUGCAUCAUAAUAAUUUAGGCUGAACUGUGGACCAUUCACUUUUCAAGUAAAUAACCAUUUUGGUUUACAAGCUACAUAAAGCAUGCCUAGUAUUCCAUACAAUGUUCCAAGGAUAUAAUAACAAUACAUAUUGUAUAUGCAUGUGUAUAAU